rnacentral:rRNA from 1 species
UACGUAGGGUCCGAGCGUUGUCCGGAAUUAUUGGGCGUAAAGAGCUCGUAGGCGGUUUGUCGCGUCUGCCGUGAAAGUCCGGGGCUCAACUCCGGAUCUGCGGUGGGUACGGGCAGACUAGAGUGAUGUAGGGGGAGACUGGAAUUCCUGGUGUAGCGGUGAAAUGCGCAGAUAUCAGGAGGAACACCGAUGGCGAAGGCAGGUCUCUGGGCAUUAACUGACGCUGAGGAGCGAAAGCAUGGGGAGCGAACAGG